UGCAACUUCUAAAUCCUGCCCGCACUUCCUCUCGAGGGAACAACAGCUAAACCAAAGUCCUCCUGGAACCUGACAUGAAGAAGUCCUGCUACGCUGCUGCACGGCCAUCGUCAUGAAAAGCAACAAGAAUGGUAACAUGC
rnacentral:lncRNA from 1 species